rnacentral:rRNA from 1 species
GAUGAACGCUGGCGGCGUGCCUAAUACAUGCAAGUCGAGCGAACGGACGAGAAGCUCGCUUCUCUGAUGUUAGCGGCGGACGGGUGAGUAACACGUGGAUAACCUACCUAUAAGACUGGGAUAACUUCGGGAAACCGGAGCUAAUACCGGAUGAUAUUUUGAACCGCAUGGUUCAAAAGUGAAAGACGGUCUUGCUGUCACUUAUAGAUGGAUCCGCGCUGCAUUAGCUAGUUGGUAAGGUAACGGCUUACCAAGGCAACGAUGCAUAGCCGACCUGAGAGGGUGAUCGGCCACACUGGAACUGAGACACGGUCCAGACUCCUACGGGAGGCAGCAGUAGGGAAUCUUCCGCAAUGGGCGAAAGCCUGACGGAGCAACGCCGCGUGAGUGACGAAGGUCUUCGGAUCGUAAAACUCUGUUAUUAGGGAAGAACAUAUGUGUAAGUAACUGUGCACAUCUUGACGGUACCUAAUCAGAAAGCCACGGCUAACUACGUG